UACGGGGGGGGUAAGCGUUGUUCGGAAUUACUGGGCGUAAAGGGCUCGUAGGCGGCCAACUAAGUCAGACGAUGAAAUCCCUCAGCUUAACUGGGGAACUGCGUCUGAUACUGGAUGGCUUGGAUUCGGGAGAGGAAUGCGGAAUUCCAGGUGUAGCGGUGAAAUGCGUAGAUAUCUGGAGGAACAUCGGUGGCGAAGGCGGGUCUCUGGGCAGUAACUGACGCUGAGGAGCGAAGCGUGGGAGGCGAACAG
rnacentral:rRNA from 1 species